UACGAAGGGGGCUAGCGUUGCUCGGAAUUACUGGGCGGUAAAGCGCACGUAGGCGGUCUUUUAAGUCGGGGGUGAAAUUCCUGGAGCUCAACUCCAGAACUGCCUUCGAUACUGGAAGACUUGAGUCCGGGAGAGGUGAGUGGAACUGCGAGUGUAGAGGUGAAAUUCGUAGAUAUUCGCAAGAACACCAGUGGCGAAGGCGGCUCACUGGCCCGGUACUGACGCUGAGGUGCGAAAGCGUGGGGAGCAAACAGG
rnacentral:rRNA from 1 species